UACGGGAGGCAGCAGUGAGGAAUAUUGCGCAAUGGGGGAAACCCUGACGCAGCGACGCCGCGUGGAUGAUGAAGGCUUUCGGGUCGUAAAAUCCUGUCAGAUGGAAAGAAAUGCAUAUUGGUUAAUAUCUAGUAUGUUUGACGGUACCAUCAAAGGAAGCACCGGCUAACUCCGUGCCAGCAGCCGCGGUAAU
rnacentral:rRNA from 1 species